rnacentral:lncRNA from 1 species
UUAAUGUCUCUUGUUUUGAAAAUUUGAACAUAAUUUAAUGUUAAUACAUCAAUUAGAAAAGUAAACUUUUGUCUUACUAAUGUCACUUUCGAAAUUAAUAGUUAUUUUUUUUUAGUUUUGUUUCUACACAUUUUGAAAAAAGAGUUCUAUAUACUUUUAAGAUCAAUGGUUUUGAAGUUUAUUCUUUUGGUAGUAAUGUAAAAAAUCACGUCUAUGGUUGACAUUAUUGGAUAACUUAGUAGAUUA